GACGAACGCUGGCGGCGUGCUUAACACAUGCAAGUCGAACGGGAUUUAGUAGACAGAAGCCUCGGCUAAAGUUUACUAAUGAGAGUGGCGAACGGGUGAGUAACGCGUGAGCAACCUGCCUAUGACAGUGGGAUAGCCUCGGGAAACCGGGAUUAAUACCGCAUAAAAUCGUAGAAACACAUGUUUCAACGGUCAAAGAUUUAUCGGUCAUAGAUGGGCUCGCGUCUGAUUAGCUAGUUGGUGAGAUAACAGCCCACCAAGGCGACGAUCAGUAGCCGGUCUGAGAGGAUGAACGGCCACAUUGGAACUGAGACACGGUCCAAACUCCUACGGGAGGCAGCAGUGGGGAAUAUUGCACAAUGGGGGAAACCAUGAUGCAGCGACGCCGCGUGAACGAAGAAGGUAUUCGUAUCGUAAAGUUCUGUCCUAUGGGAAGAUAAUGACAGUACCAUAGAAGAAAGCGCCGGCUAAAUACGUG
rnacentral:rRNA from 1 species